GAGUUUGAUCGUGGCUCAGAGUGAACGCUGGCGGCAGGCCUAACACAUGCAAGUCGAGCGGCAGCACGGGGGCAACCCUGGUGGCGAGCGGCGGACGGGUGAGGAAUACAUCGGAAUCUGCCUUGUUGUGGGGGAUAACGUAGGGAAACUUACGCUAAUACCGCAUAAGACCGAAAGGUGAAAGUGGGGGACCGCAAGGCCUCACGCGACAAGAUGAGCCGAUGUCGGAUUAGCUAGUUGGUGAGGUAAUGGCUCACCAAGGCGACGAUCCGUAGCUGGUCUGAGAGGAUGAUCAGCCACACUGGAACUGAGACACGGUCCAGACUCCUACGGGAGGCAGCAGUGGGGAAUAUUGGACAAUGGGCGCAAGCCUGAUCCAGCCAUGCCGCGUGGGUGAAGAAGGCCUUCGGUU
rnacentral:rRNA from 1 species